GAUGAAGAACGUAGCGAAAUGCGAUAAGUAAUGUGAAUUGCAGAAUUCAGUGAAUCAUCGAAUCUUUGAACGCACAUUGCGCCCCUUGGUAUUCCGAGGGGCAUGCCUGCUCGAGGGUCAUUAUAACCCCUCAAGCUCAGCUUGGUGUUGGGGCCUGCUGCACUGGCAGCCCUUAAAAUCAGUGGCGGCGCCAUCUGGCUCUAAGCGUAGUAAUUCUUCUCGCUAUGGAGUCCUGGUGGAUGCUUGCCAUCAACCCCCAAUUUUUCUAUGGUUGACCUCGGAUCAGGUAGGGAUACCCGCUGAACUUAAGCAUAUCAAUAAGCGGAGGA
rnacentral:misc_RNA from 1 species